rnacentral:rRNA from 1 species
CCCUUAGAUGUCCUGGGCCGCACGCGCGCUACACUGACAUGUUCAACAAGCCUCCUAGUUCGACAGGAUUUGGGAAAUCUUUGAACGCAUGUCGUGAUAGGGAUAGAUCAUUGCAAUUAUUGAUCUUGAACGAGGAAUUCCUAGUAAACGCGAGUCAUCAGCUCGCAUUGAUUACGUCCCUGCCCUUUGUACACACCGCCCGUCGCACCUACCGAUUGAAUGUUUCGGUGAAGAUUCCGGAUAGGACUUUUUUGAUUUAUUUCAAUUUUGUCUUGAAAGCUAUCUAAACCUCAACAUUUAGAGGAAGGUGAAGUCGUAACA